rnacentral:rRNA from 1 species
UACGGGGGGUGCGAGCGUUGUCCGGAAUUACUGGGCGUAAAGCGCGCGUAGGCGGCCCUGCAAGUCGGGGGUGAAAGCCCGAGGCUCAACCUCGGAACUGCCUUCGAUACUGCGGGUCUCGAGUCCGGGAGAGGUGAGUGGAAUUCCUAAUGUAGAGGUGAAAUGCGUAGAUAUCUGGAGGAACACCGGUGGCGAAGGCGGCAUCCUGGACCGAUACUGACGCUGAGGAGCGAAAGCCAGGGGAGCAAACGGG